rnacentral:misc_RNA from 1 species
UUUCCGUAGGUGAACCUGCGGAAGGAUCAUUAUCGAACAGCAAUCCGGGGGGGAGGCAACCGAGCGAAGUUUCGUUGAUCGUAGGGAUUGUCGCUGGCCUUUGGAAACGAAGGCAUGGGCACGUUCCGAGUUCUCCUUAGUCCUCCUUUGCCUUUCCUAUGGAAGACCCUUUCUUCACACCCGUGCACACAUUGUAGGUCUCCGCGAGGGGAUCUAUGUCUUCACAAAACUCUACGUAUGGCCAGGAAUGUAUCUAAAGCGUCGAACGGCUCGACUCCAUGCCCGGUCGCCGACGGUAAAGAACGAUAAUACAACUUUCAGCAACGGAUCUCUUGGCUCUC